CCGGCAGACGACGUCAAAAGCUACGGUAGCCUAUACACUGAGGGAAAAGAGGGGUAGCGCGGGAGGGAAACGUUAGAUAUUAAUAAGUAUAUUUUAAUAUAUGUGUUAACCCUUAAAUGUCUAUAUAAAUGGACUGCUGGAUUUAUCAAUAGCUGGCUGCUGCAGAAAUAGUUUUAAAGAAUAUAGCCUUGUAGCCUAAUUAUUGCAGAAAUUUGACUAUUCUAACAGACAGGGCAGUACUCAGAGAGUGACUGACUGGCUUUACCGGAUUUGCCAAGAGUCGUGACGAGAGGAUAUAGCAAAUAACGGAUCACCAAGGCACCGGGUUGGGGAUAUGUGAUCUGAUGAUCGCUUGCAAAGACGUGAGACCUUAACGGGAGCAGCAACUCCACUGAUCUGUUACGGAUUCGAAACCGGGAGAGGGAGCGAUUGGCACAAAGAGCGGAGAACGAAUCGCAUUGAGCCUACUAUUCCCGGAGGGAGGGUAACAGGAGACGCGCACUGAAGACAACAACGCCACGGCAAAACGUGGAAAAAUAAACAAAAUCAUCUCAAAUUACCCUGGGAAUUAGUUUACAACGUGGAGUGAAGGAUCUCUUGAAAUCGGGGCUCCGAACACUCUCACGUCCUAAAGCUCUGGUCGCUCCUCUCCAGAGGACCACGACUCUGCUCUCACUCACCCCACUCUUCUCACCUCGAACCCCGCAGAGCGCCUGUCGUUCUCCUUUUCCUUCUCUCCUCCAACACCCUCCAGCUCUGGUCGCUCCUCUCCAGAGGACCACGACUCUGCUCUCACUCACCCCACUCUUCUCACCUCGAACCCCGCAGAGCGCCUGUCGUUCUCCUUUUCCUUCUCUCCUCCAACACCCUCCAGCUCUGGUCGCUCCUCUCCAGAGGACCACGACUCUGCUCGCACUCACCCCACUCUUCUCGCCUCGAACCGCGCAGAGCGCCUGUCGUUCUCCCCACUGUGUUCUGAUGAAGGAAGCCGACGCGAUCAAGCUGUUCGUGGGGCAGAUUCCUCGGAAUCUAGAGGAGAAGGACCUCAAACCGAUCUUUGAACAGUUCGGGAAGAUCUACGAGCUGACGGUGAUAAAGGACAAAUACACCGGCAUGCACAAAGGAUGUGCAUUCCUGACAUACUGUGCGAGGGAGUCAGCGCUGAAGGCCCAGAGUGCUUUGCAUGAGCAGAAGACGCUACCGGGGAUGAACCGACCCAUCCAGGUAAAACCAGCCGACAGCGAGGGGAGAGGAGAAGACAGGAAGUUGUUUGUGGGCAUGCUGGGUAAACAGCAGAGUGAUGAAGACGUCAAGAGGCUGUUUGAGCCCUUUGGCACUAUAGACGAGUGUACUGUACUACGGGGGCCAGACGGCACCAGUAAAGGUUGUGCGUUUGUGAAGUACCAGGGACAUGCUGAAGCUCAGGCUGCCAUUAGCACCCUGCAUGGGAGCCGCACACUGCCUGGUGCGUCGUCCAGUCUGGUGGUGAAGUUUGCCGACACAGAGAAGGAGAGAGGGCUGAGACGGAUGCAGCAGGUGGCAUCACAGCUGGGCAUCUUCAGCCCCACCAUGACACUUAACUUCCCUGCUUACAACGCUUACACACAGGCCGUCAGUGCACAGGCGAUUAUCCAGCAGCAAGCUCUGGUUGCUCAGUCAGCGUACCUGUCUCCUGUAGCAACUGUUGCCAGUUUACAGAUGCAGCAGCUGGCAGCGCUCAACGCAAAUGGAAUCAUCGCCACGCCCAUCACAUCUUCCUCUGAGUCUAGUAGCUGUCAAUCACAAUAUCUCCUCCACUGUGAUUGGUCCUCCCGGUUUGCAGGUACGAAUACCCCUCCAACCAUCUCAGCCACGCCCGUGCCAUCACUACCUCCACCUCUAGGAGUCAAUGGUUACAGUCCACCAACCAAUGGACAGCAAGCAUCAGAAGCACUAUACACCAAUGGCAUUCAUGCGUACCAAGCCCAGAGUCCAGCAUUAUCUCUAGAUCCUCUCCAGCAGGCGUAUGCAGGCAUGCAGCACUACACAGCGGCGUACCCUGCUGCCUAUGGAUUGGUCGGCCAGCAUUUUCCACAGCAACCUACCCUGGUUGCCCAGCAACACCAGCAGCCCCAGCAACAGCAGCAGCGAGAAGGGCCGGAGGGUUGUAAUAUCUUUAUCUACCACCUGCCUCAGGAGUUCAGUGACAGUGAGAUGCUCCAGAUGUUUCUGCCCUUUGGAAACGUCAUCUCAGCUAAAGUCUUUGUAGACCGCGCCACCAACCAGAGCAAGUGCUUCGGUUUUGUGAGUUUUGACAACCCAUCCAGUGCCCAGACUGCCAUCCAGGCUAUGAAUGGGUUCCAGAUCGGCAUGAAGAGACUCAAGGUGCAGCUGAAACGACCUAAAGACGCCAACCGCCCCUACUGAAGGAGAGAGGAGAGAGAUCCUCCCGUCCAAUCAUAAUUCGCGGGGAUCCCAUCACUAUGGUUACCUAGCGACCGAUAAAGCCCCGACCCCCCUUCCUCUCACGUGUUACUCUGGCCAUGGUGGAAUCCCAGCGUGCAUUGCACCCUCAGACCUACUACCUUUCUGUUGAGCGACGGGGAACAGCACACACACAAACACCACACACACACACAAAUACCACACACACACACACACCACACACACACACACACACACACACACACACACACACACACACACACACACACACACACACACACACACACACACACACACACACACACACACACACACACACACACACACACACACACACACACACACACACACACACACACACAUUGCACUCUAAAAGGACCAAGGCACAGAUAUUGACCAAUGUACAUAUUAUAGUCCUCACACACACACACACUCACAUACUUUCAGAUACAUAUAUGUCAGUAAUCGUACGCAUUGAACUGGACUCAGUUUGAAAAUGGUUUGUGAGGAGUUUGUCUGGAGUGUGUAGGGCAGUGAAGAUAGCACACAUACACGACCCAGGAAGUACUUACUAAAGUCAUUGAUGAGAUAAUGAAUAAUGGUGAUAUAUCACUUCUUUGGACCAUAACAUGUCAUAUUACAUGGCUAUUACAUGUGUAUAACAUGAUACAAAUAGGAAGGCCUCCAUUUCGUAAUAAAAAAAAGGAAAACAGGAAAAAAUAUUGAGACAAAAAUGAGUAAUUUAGAGAAACUUUGGAGAGAGAUCCUUAUGGCCUGUAAAUAAUUUAGUUUAAGAAGAGUAACAUUUAGAAAAUGACAAAAAAAUGCAAAAACAAGAGUACUUUAGAUAAACCACUAAAAAUGACACAAUAUUAUUAUUAUUAUUGUUAUUAUGAUUAUUAUCUUCGUUAGGGGAUAUUGUAUUAGAAAUAAAGAAAGGGGAGAAUCACAAACAUAUUUUCAAUUUCUACUUAGACUUUAGGAUAAAUGUGGGUGGGAGGGACUGCACCUUUUCUGAGAGGUUUUAAUAUUUUAACAAUUUUUAUUUAUUGACUAAUUUAUCAAUUAUUUUUGUUAAUAGGGAGAAAUGAUGAAGGGUUUAAAGGGGAAACGAGUUUCUGAUUUUCGAAUUUUUUAGAGUAAAAAAGGGUCUGUUUCUGUCAGACUCUGUCAGAGUAAUUAUAAUUAUGAAUGAAUUAUUACAACAAUGAUAUUUAUUUCUUAUUUAUUGAGUCUGUUUUUGAUCCAAUCUCUUUUUAAGUUAAAAUAAAAAGUAUUAUACAUCAAA